ensembl:snRNA U6 U6 spliceosomal RNA
GUGCUGGCUUUGGCAGCACACACACUAAGAUGGGAACAGUACAGAGAUCAGCGUGGCCGCUGCACAGGGAUGACACGUGAAUUCCUGAGGCGCUCCAUACUUCA